AUACGGAGGGUGCAAGCGUUAAUCGGAAUUACUGGGCGCAAAGCGUACGUAGGCGGUUCGUUAAGUUAGAUGUGAAAGCCCCGGGCUUAACCUGGGAACUGCAUUUAAAACUGGCGAACUAGAGUUGAGUAGAGGGGAGUGGAAUUUCAGGUGUAGCGGUGAAAUGCGUAGAGAUCUGAAGGAACACCAGUGGCGAAGGCGACUCCCUGGACUCGAACUGACGCUGAGGUACGAAAGCGUGGGUAGCAAACGGGAUUAGAAACCCUAGUAGUCC
rnacentral:rRNA from 1 species